CCUACGGGCGCUGCAGUGGGGAAUAUUGGACAAUGGGCGAAAGCCUGAUCCAGCCAUGCCGCGUGUGUGAAGAAGGCCUUCGGGUUGUAAAGCACUUUCAGUGGGGAAGAAAGCCUUGGGGCUAAUACCCUCGAGGAAGGACAUCACCCACAGAAGAAGCACCGGCUAACUCCGUGCCAGCAGCCGCGGUAAUACGGAGGGUGCGAGCGUUAAUCGGAAUUACUGGGCGUAAAGCGCGCGUAGGCGGUCUGAUAAGCCGGUUGUGAAAGCCCCGGGCUCAACCUGGGAACGGCAUCCGGAACUGUCAGGCUAGAGUGCAGGAGAGGAAGGUAGAAUUCCCGGUGUAGCGGUGAAAUGCGUAGAGAUCGGGAGGAAUACCAGUGGCGAAGGCGGCCUUCUGGACUGACACUGACGCUGAGGUGCGAAAGCGUGGGUAGCAAACAGGAUUAGAUACCCCGGUAGUC
rnacentral:rRNA from 1 species